ACCUCGCCCAGCGAUUUAAGUAUCGCCUUGUCGCCGCCUCUGUUAGUCCUGCUACCUCGAGAAGAAUUACCCUAAUCGCCAUUGGCGCUCGACGCUGGGGAGAGAGGAAGAAGCGUGCUCCGGUCGCCACCAUGAUCGCGCAGAGAGAGUGCGCCGGGAGUCACCACUUCGGAGCCGAGCGAGGUGGAGAGGAUAGCCCGUGGCUGGGGUGCCCGUGGUGUGUGCCAUCAGGCAGACAUUGCCGGGCGAGGUCACCACCCAGUGCUUCCUGGCGCACGCACCAGUGCCGGUGAUUGACGCCGCGCCGCAGGAACAAACCCGUCAACAUCCCCCUUGUUGGUAAGCUCAUGACCUCGGUUUGUUUUGACCCUCGCAGAGCGGAUCUAGAGAGGCUUAGUGGGUAGAAACCAUUACACCUUUGGGCUAUGUGCUGCAAAUGGCGCCGCCCUGGUGUAGACCGAUUGGAGUGGAGGAGAGAGGGUGUCGUGGGAUUGAAGACGAUCCAGGGACCGUUGGAUUCGGAAAGGGCGAGUGAGAUUAGAUCCAAACAAAAUACUCGCGGUUUGAUCCCCUGCCGUUGAGCUUGUAACUGAUGGCCGGAAUCGGUCCUAAAUACCGCUUCGGCUGGGGUAGGUUGGCCGUCGAUUUUGUAGGUAACGGCUCAGAUUAGAAGACAAUACCCCCUCGCGCGAUCUAGAUCAGGACCGUUGAAUUUUGAUCUGAUGGGUUGGAUCAGAUCAUGCCUAAAUAAAACCCACGCCGUUGGAUCUUUAUCCAACGGUGACUACUGCGUACCCGUUCAGUGGAGUCCUGGUCUAAUCUGAGCCAUCCAUUUAAGAUCAAACGACCCAUGUUAGAUCAUAACCCUUCGGCCGGGUGAUCUUGCAAUUGAACCCCUGUGGUCUCCAUGAAUUAACCCGUUGUCCACGCAGGGGGGCGCUCUGUGUCUUAGGGAAUUUUGCUCCAGAGACCCUGCAGUUUCCUGUAUUUGAGGCACAGUCCAGUUAAUAAGAAAAACAGAGAAAUUGAAUUAGAAAUUGAAUUUUUAAUAUAAAAACAAUUCCAGAAUUUUGUUAAAUCCAUAGAAAAUUCAUAUUAAGUCCAAAUGAGAUCAUUCCAAUUUCUAUAAUUCUAUAAUAUUAUUGUUCAUCACAUAGUACCUCUGUUUUGACAUGAAUAUCACAUUAAAAUUAAUAUCCUAAGUAAUCUUUUAUCCAACACUUAAAACUUAAUAAAUUCAUAACUUCUUCAUUUUAAUUCCGUUUUGAUCCAUUCAAGUUGUGUUAGUCUCGUAGCAACGUGUAGAUUAUUAUUACACAGUUUUAUUCUUAUGUUUGGUGUAAUGUUAAUUUUAUCUAUACCAUGUCUGUUUGUAUUGCUACGACUAGCGCGAGGACACGUGUCAUAUGAACGCAAGUUGGUACCUGGAAUCUCAAGUGUCA
rnacentral:lncRNA from 1 species